GUGGGGAAUAUUGGACAAUGGGCGAAAGCCUGAUCCAGCCAUGCCGCGUGUGUGAAGAAGGUCUUCGGAUUGUAAAGCACUUUAAGUUGGGAGGAAGGGCAGUAACCUAAUACGUUGCUACUUUGACGUUACCGACAGAAUAAGCACCGGCUAACUUCGUGCCAGCAGCCGCGGUAAUACGAAGGGUGCAAGCGUUAAUCGGAAUUACUGGGCGUAAAGCGCGCGUAGGUGGUUCAGUAAGUUGGAAGUGAAAUCCCCGGGCUCAACCUGGGAACUGCUUUCAAAACUGCUGAGCUAGAGUACGGUAGAGGGUGGUGGAAUUUCCUGUGUAGCGGUGAAAUGCGUAGAUAUAGGAAGGAACACCAGUGGCGAAGGCGACCACCUGGACUGAUACUGACACUGAGGUGCGAAAGCGUGGGGAGCAAACAGGAUUAGAAACCCUAGUAGUCC
rnacentral:rRNA from 1 species